UUUCCGUAGGUGAACCUGCGGAAGGAUCAUUCAUAAUAAGUGUUUUAUGGCACUUUUUUAAAUCCAUAUCCACCUUGUGUGCAAUGUCAGGGUUGGUCUCUUUUUGAUCAGCCCCAGACAUCAACUAUUAUCUCAACUCUUUGUCUGAAAAAUAUUAUGAAUAAAACAAUUCAAAAUACAACUUUCAACAACGGAUCUCUUGGCUCUC
rnacentral:misc_RNA from 1 species